rnacentral:lncRNA from 1 species
UUGAUUCGGGCUUUAUAACCCUUUUUUCUCUAUUUUCCUAUUGUUUCUGUCUUGUCUGCCUUACUGAUUGCAGGGGAUGGGCAUGGGAGGUGACCGGUGGUGCAGGGAAUGGUGCUGGUGUUAGAAGGCAGGUGGGCAAGUGGGGAGGCUAAUUCGGCACUGAAUGCUAGGGUUAGGUAUUUUCUAUUUUGGGUUUGAGGUUUCAAGUGGGUUUGGGUAGUUGGGCUAGUGGUUCUAAAUGUAUUUGGGCUGAGGGUGGGUUAGAUGGUUUAAGGGGUUUAAUGUAUUGGGUUUAUUUGUUGGGUCAAAA